rnacentral:rRNA from 1 species
UGAGGAAUAUUGGUCAAUGGACGCAAGUCUGAACCAGCCAUGCCGCGUGCAGGAUGAAGCAUCUAUGGUGUGUAAACUGCUUUUGUACGGGAAGAAACACUCCUACGUGUAGGAGCUUGACGGUACCGUAAGAAUAAGGAUCGGCUAACUCCGUGCCAGCAGCCGCGGUAAUACGGAGGAUCCAAGCGUUAUCCGGAAUCAUUGGGUUUAAAGGGUCCGUAGGCGGCUUUAUAAGUCAGUGGUGAAAGCCCAUCGCUUAACGAUGGAACGGCCAUUGAUACUGUAGAGCUUGAAUUACUUGGAAGUAACUAGAAUAUGUAGUGUAGCGGUGAAAUGCUUAGAUAUUACAUGGAAUACCAAUUGCGAAGGCAGGUUACUACAAGUGGAUUGACGCUGAUGGACGAAAGCGUGGGGAGCGAACA